CAGUUUGCUUGCAAACUGGAGAUGGCGACCGGCGCACGGGUGAGUAACACGUAUCCAACCUGCCGAUAACUCGGGGAUAGCCUUUCGAAAGAAAGAUUAAUACCCGAUGGCAUAAUUAGACCGCAUGGUCUUAUUAUUAAAGAAUUUCGGUUAUCGAUGGGGAUGCGUUCCAUUAGGCAGUUGGUGAGGUAACGGCUCACCAAACCUUCGAUGGAUAGGGGUUCUGAGAGGAAGGUCCCCCACAUUGGAACUGAGACACGGUCCAAACUCCUACGGGAGGCAGCAGUGAGGAAUAUUGGUCAAUGGACGAGAGUCUGAACCAGCCAAGUAGCGUGAAGGAUGACUGCCCUAUGGGUUGUAAACUUCUUUUAUAUGGGAAUAAAGUUUUCCACGUGUGGAAUUUUGUAUGUACCAUAUGAAUAAGGAUCGGCUAACUCCGUGCCAGCAGCCGCGGUAAUACGGAGGAUCCGAGCGUUAUCCGGAUUUAUUGGGUUUAAAGGGAGCGUAGGUGGACAGUUAAGUCAGUUGUGAAAGUUUGCGGCUCAACCGUAAAAUUGCAGUUGAUACUGGCUGUCUUGAGUACAGUAGAGGUGGGCGGAAUUCGUGGUGUAGCGGUGAAAUGCUUAGAUAUCACGAAGAACUCCGA
rnacentral:rRNA from 1 species